rnacentral:rRNA from 1 species
UGGGGAAUUUUGGACAAUGGGCGCAAGCCUGAUCCAGCCAUGCCGCGUGCGGGAAGAAGGCCUUCGGGUUGUAAACCGCUUUUGUCAGGGAAGAAAUCUUCUGAGUUAAUACCUCGGGAGGAUGACGGUACCUGAAGAAUAAGCACCGGCUAACUACGUGCCAGCAGCCGCGGUAAUACGUAGGGUGCAAGCGUUAAUCGGAAUUACUGGGCGUAAAGCGUGCGCAGGCGGUUUUGUAAGACAGAGGUGAAAUCCCCGGGCUCAACCUGGGAACUGCCUUUGUGACUGCAAGGCUUGAGUGCGGCAGAGGGGGGAUGGAAUUCCGCGUGUAGCAGUGAAAUGCGUAGAUAUGCGGAGGAACACCGGUGGCGAAGGCAAAUCCCCCUGGGCCUGCACUGACGCUCAUGCACGAAAGCGUGGGGAGCAAAACAGGAUUAGAUACCCUGGUAGUCCACGCCCUAAAACGAUGUCGACUGGUUGUUGGUCCUUCACUGGAUCAGUAGCGAAGCUAACGCGUGAAGUUGACCGCCUGGGGAGUACGGCCGCAAGGUUGAAACUCAAAGGAAUUGACGGGGUCAUAGCUGUUUCCU